rnacentral:rRNA from 1 species
GACGAACGCUGGCGGCGUGCUUAACACAUGCAAGUCGAACGGAAAGGCCCUGCUUUUGUGGGGUGCUCGAGUGGCGAACGGGUGAGUAACACGUGAGUAACCUGCCCUUGACUUUGGGAUAACUUCAGGAAACUGGGGCUAAUACCGGAUAGGAGCUCCUGCUGCAUGGUGGGGGUUGGAAAGUUUCGGCGGUUGGGGAUGGACUCGCGGCUUAUCAGCUUGUUGGUGGGGUAGUGGCUUACCAAGGCUUUGACGGGUAGCCGGCCUGAGAGGGUGACCGGCAGCAUUGGGAAUGAGGGAAGGAGGAGAGGGAGAGGGGAGGAAGAAGGGGGGAAGGGGGCAGAAUGGGCGGGAGGAGGAGGCAGCAAUGACGGGUGGGGGAGGAGGGGGGGGGGGGUGGAAAAAGAGGGGGACGGUGACGAAGAGUGAGGGAGGGGAAGGGGUAAGGAAGCGAAGGGUAAAGACGGG